CUUUACUGUAGCCUGGUAUUGGGUUCGGGCUUUGACUGCGCAGGAUAGGUGGGAGACUAUGAAGCUGCCCUUGUGGGGGCAGUGGAGUCAUCAGUGAGAUACCACUCUGUCAAGGCUAGAAUUCUAGCCGUCUGCCGUUAUCCGGCGACGGAACAGUAUCAGGUGGGCAGUUUGACUGGGGCGGUCGCCUCCUAAAUGGUAACGGAGGCGCGCAAAGGUUCCCUCAGGCUGGUUGGAAAUCAGCCGAAGAGUGUAAAGGCAGAAGGGAGCUUGACUGCAAGAGCAACAACUCAAGCAGGGACGAAAGUCGGCCUUAGUGAUCCGACGGCGCUGAGUGGAAGGGCCGUCGCUCAACGGAUAAAAGUUA
rnacentral:rRNA from 1 species